rnacentral:tRNA from 1 species
GGCUCCAUAGCUCAGUUGGUUAGAGCGCCAGUCUCGUAAACUGGAGGUCGCGAGUUCAACUCUCGCUGGAGCCU